rnacentral:rRNA from 1 species
CCCUAAACGAUGAAUGCUAGUCGUCGGGGAGCUAGUCUCUUCGGUGAUGCACUUAACAGAUUAAGCAUUCCGCCUGGGGAGUACGGUCGCAAGAUUAAAACUCAAAGGAAUAGACGGGGACCCGCACAAGUGGUGGAGCAUGUGGUUUAAUUCGAAGAUACGCGAAGAACCUUACCUAGCCUUGACAUUGAUUGAAUUUUCCAGAGAUGGAGAAGUGCCUUUCGGGGAACAUGAAAACAGGUGCUGCACGGCUGUCGUCAGCUCGUGUCGUGAGAUGUUGGGUUAAGUCCCGCAACGAGCGCAACCCUCGUCGUUAGUUGCUAACAGGUUAAGCUGAGCACUCUAGCGAGACUGCCUUCGCAAGGAGGAGGAAGGUGAGGACGACGUCAAGUCAUCAUGGCCCUUAUGGCUAGGGCUACACACGUGCUACAAUGGGGCGUACAGAGAGUUGCGAUACCGCGAGGUGGAGCCAAUCUCAUAAAGCGUCUCUCAGUUCGGAUUGUUCUCUGCAACUCGAGAACAUGAAGCUGGAAUCACUAGUAAUCGUAGAUCAGCAACGCUACGGUGAAUACGUUCCCGGGUCUUGUACUCACCGCCCGU